rnacentral:rRNA from 1 species
AUGCCUGCAUGCAGAAUUCAAUUAGAACAACUCAAGGAUCUCCUGAUGCAUUUCACUGCUUACACUGGCUUAAGAAUCAACUUUGAAAAGUUUGCAAUGAUUCCAAUCAACACACUAGAGCACAAGAUGCACCUUCUGGCCAACAUCUUGGGAUGUUCUAUUGGCAGUCUACCUUUCACUUAUCUUGGUUUACCUCUUAAUCUACUCAAACCAAAGCUAGAAGACUUUGCUCCUAUCAUUAAAGGGAUUGACCGAAGACUAGUUGGCUGCUCCACACUGCUAUCUUGUGGGGAUAAACUCACGCUCAUUAAGUCUGUUUUCACAAGCUUGCCAACUUUUCUUAUGAGCACACUUUCUCUACCUGCUGGCAUAGUUGAUCAGAUCAAUAAAUUCCUCAGAUUGUGCUUUUCGAGAAAGUAUGGUGUUGAAGAACGAGGUCCUACUUUGAUUGCUUGGGCGAAAACCUGUGUCCCCAAAGAUCAAGGAGGUCUGGGAAUUUUAGACAUUACCACUCACAACAAAUGCCUUUUGAUGAAACACAUCCAUAAAUUUUUGAACCACGCAGAACUCCCCUGGGUGAAUCUUAUUUGGGAAUCUUACUAUCCUAAUGGCAUCCUUACCCCCAGACCAUUGGGUUCAUUCUGGUGGAAAGGAAUCCUCAAGUUGCUUCCUUUAUUCAAACUUUGGGCUAAGGGAGAAGUUGGGAAAGGUAACUCCAUAAACUUCUGGCAGGAUAAUUGGGGCCAUGAUUCUCUUCAGCAAAAAUACCCAGAGCUCUAUUCUUUCUCAACCAAGGCAAAUUUAACAGUGCAAGAUUUUCUACAAUUAGAAAAUCCCCUAGAACACUUUCACACACCCCUCUCCAUCCAAGCUUUGCAACAAUUCCAAGAACUUUAG